rnacentral:rRNA from 1 species
GACGAACGCUGGCGGCAUGCCUAAUACAUGCAAGUCGAACGCGACCAGCCGGUGCUUGCACUGGCGAAGUCGAGUGGCGAACGGGUGAGUAACACGUGAGAAACCUACCCUGGAGUGGGGAAUAACUCGAAGAAAUUCGAGCUAAUACCGCAUACCUUCUUACCGUCGAAUGGUGGUUUGAAGAAAGAUUUAUCGCUCUGGGAGGGUCUCGCGGCCUAUCAGCUAGUUGGUGAGGUAACGGCUCACCAAGGCAUCGACGGGUAGCUGGUCUGAGAGGACGAUCAGCCACACUGGAACUGAGACACGGUCCAGACUCCUACGGGAGGCAGCAGUAGGGAAUCUUGCGCAAUGGGCGAAAGCCUGACGCAGCAAUGCCGCGUGCGGGACGAAGGCCCUAGGGUCGUAAACCGCUUUCAGUAGGGACGAAAAUGACGGUACCUGCAGAAGAAGCUCCGGCCAACUACGUG